rnacentral:tRNA from 1 species
GCCUAGCUGACUCAGGUGGUAGAGUGUGUGACUCUUGAUCUUAGAGUUGUGAGUUCAAGUCCCACAUUGGGUG